rnacentral:rRNA from 1 species
UACGUAGGGGGCAAGCGUUGUCCGGAUUUAUUGGGCGUAAAGAGCGUGUAGGCGGCCAGACAGGUCCGCUGUGAAAACUCGAGGCUCAACCUCGAGAUGUCGGUGGAAACCGUCUGGCUAGAGUCCGGAAGAGGAGAGUGGAAUUCCUGGUGUAGCGGUGAAAUGCGCAGAUAUCAGGAAGAACACCCGUGGCGAAGGCGGCUCUCUGGGACGGUACUGACGCUGAGACGCGAAAGCGUGGGGAGCGAACAGG